UUGUGACCUGGAGUUCUCCUCAAAUCACUUCAGUUGCUAACUUCUGCCUCAUUGUUGCAUUGGCACUGUUUUAAAAGUGUGCAUUGCAGCCUUGCAGGGACAAGAGAGGUGUGCAUAGUGAAGUGUUUGGGGGAACUCUGGGUGUCUA
rnacentral:pre_miRNA from 2 species